CACUGGAGAUAGGUGAAGAAUGGAUUGGAGAGGGCAAGAAGAGACACUAGGAAAGCUUCGCCAUCACCCUGGCAAAAGAUGAUGCAAAUGAACCAAGACAGGUGCUGAGGACGGUGGGGGAGGGAGGCAGGCCUCACCUCCACCCCCAGGACCAGAACCCCCUUCCCCAUGAAGAAUAUUCUGCAUCACACAUGAACUUGAAGGAGAAGGAAAGCUUAACAGAAAAUAAGCAAUCAAGGACCAUUUGAACCUCCAUGUUGGGAAAUGAGAUGAAGAGGUAAAAAAGCGAAGUGUGUACCCAAGAUUACAGCUAAACUAGGACUUGAACCCAUGUCUGUCUGAAGUCCGAGCUGAAACUUUG
rnacentral:lncRNA from 1 species